AACGAACGCUGGCGGCAGGCUUAACACAUGCAAGUCGAGCGCCCCGCAAGGGGAGCGGCAGACGGGUGAGUAACGCGUGGGAACGUACCCUUUGCUACGGAAUAGCUCCGGGAAACUGGAGUUAAUACCGUAUGUGCCCUACGGGGGAAAGAUUUAUCGGCAAAGGAUCGGCCCGCGUUGGAUUAGCUAGUUGGUGGGGUAAUGGCCUACCAAGGCGACGAUCCAUAGCUGGUCUGAGAGGAUGAUCAGCCACAUUGGGACUGAGACACGGCCCAAACUCCUACGGGAGGCAGCAGUGGGGAAUAUUGGACAAUGGGCGCAAGCCUGAUCCAGCCAUGCCGCGUGAGUGAUGAAGGUCUUAGGAUUGUAAAGCUCUUUCACCGAUGAAGAUAAUGACGGUAGUCGGAGAAGAAGCCCCGGCUAACUUCGUGCCAGCCGCCGCCGUAAGAC
rnacentral:rRNA from 1 species